UUCUUUGGUCUGGGCUGCUUCUUUUUUUAAUCUAAAUCAUUUCAGAAAGUGCUGUCUGGACGAUGGUUUUCAAAUCCCCGAGUUGCAUUGGGACAUGCUUCCUUUGACCUCAGCCCCGCGGCCGCGCAGUUUGGUGCGCUCAGGCUGCCGCGGCCGGCGGAGCACAGCGGGGCCCGGGGCUGCCGGAAAGGAGACAACCCCGCGGGGACAAAUGUCGAGUAGGACCAAGCACCGGCACCGUGACCAGCAGUCACGCAGUUCCCCUCUUCCACGAUCAAGGCAAAGUCGGGCUUAGCGCCAUGCGAGCGACCGGGCUUGAUGUUUUCUCCGUAUUUGGGACUGUUUGCGUGUUUUAAAAAAAUCAACUCCCUCGUGUUUGAAUGGUCGGGGAUACCGGCUUGGCGGCGGCACCGGCCGAACCGUGCAAAACACCGGUGUAAACGGUGACUUGAAUCUUGGUUCUUUCUCCCUUUAUACUAUUCCCAGUUUUAUACUAAACUACAUCGAGAUUUGUUUUUCUCAGGGACACUUUGCUGUCUCUCAUACCCAAACGGCAUCCUAACAGGGAACGAAAUUUAGCAGCGGAUCCCUGACUGUGCCUUGCCAGCCGGCCUGAAAAUUGAUCCACAGCUGCAGCAAGAAGUAACAGAGCCGCGAGGGAGGCUCCGCACUGAAGAAAGAAGACGGCUGCUCUUGCCUUUCUAGAUGGCACAUCCUCCAUUAAAUCCGCCUUAAAUCUG